CGGCGGACGGGUGAGUAACGCGUGGGUAACCUGCCUUAUACAGGGGGAUAACAGUUAGAAAUGACUGCUAAUACCGCAUAAGCGCACAGUACUGCAUGGUACAGUGUGAAAAACUCCGGUGGUAUAAGAUGGACCCGCGUCUGAUUAGCCAGUUGGCGGGGUAACGGCCCACCAAAGCGACGAUCAGUGCCGACCUGAGAGGGUGACCGGCCACAUUGGGACUGAGACACGGCCCAAACUCCUACGGAAGGCAGCAG
rnacentral:rRNA from 1 species